CAUCAUUUUAAUUGGACCAAACUUUUCAUCUGUAUUCUUAUAUAAGUAUAUGUCUACUAAUACAAUACAAUACAACAGCAGCAAAGACGGUCAUUAUUUUUAUUCUCAAAAAUUUUCUUUCUUUCUUUUUUUUGCUGUAUUUGACUUUGGAUCCAGGAUAGAACCCAUUUUAUUAAAAUCAAUUAGACAUCUAAUGAGAUGAAGUAAAUUACGCCUUCCAUCCUAGUUCGCUUGAAUUAUUUGGCUCAUGCGUCCAGGGAACAGUAGGGCUAUGUUCUUCUGGCGGGAGCUAUUCAUUUGCGCACUGAUUCUGUCCUCGUUGCUGAAGUGGCAGCUGCUUGGGAGCGUCUCAAUGGUGCUCCGAUCACAUUUUCAUGCCAUUUGCGUCGCUCGAGGAGGUUCAUCCUCUAUCAUG
rnacentral:lncRNA from 1 species